GCAUGUAUAGCUCAAUUGGUAGAGCAAUUGUCUUAUACACAAUCGGUUCCAGGUUCGAGUCCUGGUACAUGCA
rnacentral:tRNA from 1 species